UACGGGGGGGGGCAAGCGUUGUUCGGAAUUACUGGGCGUAAAGGGCUCGUAGGUGGCCAACUAAGUCAGACGUGAAAUCCCUCGGCUUAACCGGGGAACUGCGUCUGAUACUGGAUGGCUUGAGUUCGGGAGAGGGAUGCGGAAUUCCAGGUGUAGCGGUGAAAUGCGUAGAUAUCUGGAGGAACACCGGUGGCGAAGGCGACAUCCUGGACCGGUAUUGACGCUGAGGCGCGAAAGCCAGGGGAGCAAACGGG
rnacentral:rRNA from 1 species